rnacentral:rRNA from 1 species
AUUGAACGCUGGCGGCAGGCUUAACACAUGCAAGUCGAGCGGGGUGAUGGUGCUUGCACUAUCACUUAGCGGCGGACGGGUGAGUAAUGCUUAGGAAUCUGCCUAUUAGUGGGGGACAACAUCUCGAAAGGGAUGCUAAUACCGCAUACGUCCUACGGGAGAAAGCAGGGGAUCACUUGUGACCUUGCGCUAAUAGAUGAGCCUAAGUCGGAUUAGCUAGUUGGUGGGGUAAAGGCCUACCAAGGCGACGAUCUGUAGCGGGUCUGAGAGGAUGAUCCGCCACACCGGGACUGAGACACGGCCCAGACUCCUACGGGAGGCAGCAGUGGGGAAUAUUGGACAAUGGGGGGAACCCUGAUCCAGCCAUGCCGCGUGUGUGAAGAAGGCCUUAUGGUUGUAAAGCACUUUAAGCGAGGAGGAGGCUCUUUUGGUUAAUACCCAAGAUGAGUGGACGUUACUCGCAGAAUAAGCACCGGCUAACUCUGUGCCAGCAGCCGCGGUAAUAC